AGUGAACGCUGGCGGUAGGCCUAACACAUGCAAGUCGAACGGCAGCACAGUAAGAGCUUGCUCUUACGGGUGGCGAGUGGCGGACGGGUGAGGAAUACAUCGGAAUCUACUUUUUCGUGGGGGAUAACGUAGGGAAACUUACGCUAAUACCGCAUACGACCUACGGGUGAAAGCAGGGGAUCUUCGGACCCUGCGCGAUUGAAUGAGCCGAUGUCGGAUUAGCUAGUUGGCGGAGUAAAGGCCCACCAAGGCGACGAUCCGUAGCUGGUCUGAGAGGAUGAUCAGCCACACUGGAACUGAGACACGGUCCAGACUUCUACGGGAGGCAGCAGUGGGGAAUAUUGGACAAUGGGCGCAAGCCUGAUCCAGCCAUACCGCGUGGGUGAAGAAGGCCUUCGGGUUGUAAAGCCCUUUUGUUGGGAAAGAAAAGCAGCAGGUUAAUACCCCGCUGUUCUGACGGUACCCAAAGAAUAAGCACCGGCUAACUUCGUG
rnacentral:rRNA from 1 species